UCGAAGGCAGCAGUGGGGAAUAUUGCACAAUGGGCGCAAGCCUGAUGCAGCCAUGCCGCGUGUAUGAAGAAGGCCUUCGGGUUGUAAAGUACUUUCAGUCGUGAGGAAGGUGUUAAGGUUAAUAACCUUAGCAAUUGACGUUAGCGACAGAAGAAGCACCGGCUAACUCCGUGCCAGCAGCCGCGGUAAUACGGAGGGUGCGAGCGUUAAUCGGAAUUACUGGGCGUAAAGGGCACGCAGGCGGUUAAUUAAGUUGGAUGUGAAAUCCCCGGGCUUAACCUGGGAAUGGCAUUCAAGACUGGUUAGCUAGAGUCUUGUAGAGGGGGUAGAAUUCCAUGUGUAGCGGUGAAAUGCGUAGAGAUGUGGAGGAAUACCGGUGGCGAAGGCGGCCCCUGGACAAAGACUGACGCUCAUGUGCGAAAGCGUGGGGAGCAAAC
rnacentral:rRNA from 1 species